rnacentral:rRNA from 1 species
UCGUUACAACUUUCAACAAUGGAUCUCUUGGCUCUGGCAUCGAUGAAGAACGCAGCGAAAUGCGAUAAGUAGUGUGAAUUGCAGAAUUCAGUGAAUCAUCGAAUCUUUGAACGCACAUUGCGCCCCUUGGUAUUCCAUGGGGCAUGCCUGUUCGAGCG